UAGGGAAUCUUCCACAAUGGACGCAAGUCUGAUGGAGCAACGCCGCGUGAGUGAAGAAGGUUUUCGGAUCGUAAAGCUCUGUUGUUGGUGAAGAAGGAUAGAGGUAGUAACUGGCCUUUAUUUGAUGGUAAUCAACCAGAAAGUCACGGCUAACUACGUGCCAGCAGCCGCGGUAAUACGUAGGUGGCAAGCGUUGUCCGGAUUUAUUGGGCGUAAAGCGAGCGCAGGCGGAAGAAUAAGUCUGAUGUGAAAGCCCUCGGCUUAACCGAGGAACUGCAUCGGAAACUGUUUUUCUUGAGUGCAGAAGAGGAGAGUGGAACUCCAUGUGUAGCGGUGGAAUGCGUAGAUAUAUGGAAGAACACCAGUGGCGAAGGCGACUCUCUGGUCUGCAACUGACGCUGAGGCUCGAAAGCAUGGGUAGCGAACAGG
rnacentral:rRNA from 1 species